GGGAGGAAUAUUGCACAACGGGGGGAACCCAGGUGCAGCAACGCCGCGUGAGUGAAGAAGGCCUUCGGGUCGUAAAACUCUUUUCUGUGGGAUGAGGAAGGACAGUACCACAGGAAUAAGUCUCGGCUAAUUACGUGCCAGCAGCCGCGGUAAGACGUAAGAGGCGAGCGUUAUCCGGAUUUACUGGGCGUAAAGGGCAAGUAGGCGGUAGAGCAAGUCAGUUGUGACAGAUCCCGGCUUAACUGGGAGAGGACGAUUGAGACUGUUUGACUAGAGGACAGGAGAGGGAAGCGGAAUUCCUUGUGUAGCGGUGGAAUGCUCAGAUACAAGGAGGAACACCAGUGGCGAAGGCGGCUUUCUGGCCUGGUCCUGACGCUGAAGAGCGAAAGCUAGGGGAGCAAACGGGCUUAGAAACCCGUGUAGUCC
rnacentral:rRNA from 1 species